GAAAACGUUUGUUCUCUAAUAUUUUGAGGCUUCCGGCAGAUAGAGAUCAAUGGAACUGCAUCCAAUGGGCCUAUCAGAUCAUUUGUCAGGGAAAGUUGCUUAUGGAGGCAAGGUGCUUGUUUAAAUGUCCAGCCACAAACAUGCGGAGAAAACUAUCGCUUUUGUUAAACAGAGAUAUCAUUGUUACCAAUUUGAAGAUAAUAGCGCAGCCCUGGGACGACCAGAACAAGAAAGAGGAUGAUGGAAUCAUCUUUCAAGGCCUCUGCGGCUCUGCCAUGGUUGUUUCUUU
rnacentral:misc_RNA from 1 species